AUUUAAUAAAAAUCCAAUUAAAUAAAUUAUAAAUAAAAACUUCUAAUUUUUUUAAUUAAAAAAUAAUUUUAUUAAAUU
rnacentral:tRNA from 1 species